CGGCGUCGAGCGGCGGACGGGUGAGUAAUGCCUAGGAAAUUGCCCUGAUGUGGGGGAUAACCAUUGGAAACGAUGGCUAAUACCGCAUGAUGCCUACGGGCCAAAGAGGGGGACCUUCGGGCCUCUCGCGUCAGGAUAUGCCUAGGUGGGAUUAGCUAGUUGGUGAGGUAAGGGCUCACCAAGGCGACGAUCCCUAGCUGGUCUGAGAGGAUGAUCAGCCACACUGGAACUGAGACACGGUCCAGACUCCUACGGGAGGCAGCAGUGGGGAAUAUUGCACAAUGGGCGCAAGCCUGAUGCAGCCAUGCCGCGUGUGUGAAGAAGGCCUUCGGGUUGUAAAGCACUUUCAGUCGUGAGGAAGGUAGUGUAGUUAAUAGCUGCAUUAUUUGACGUUAGCGACAGAAGAAGCACCGGCUAACUCCGUGCCAGCAGCCGCGGUAAUACGGAGGGUGCGAGCGUUAAUCGGAAUUACUGGGCGUAAAGCGCAUGCAGGUGGUUUGUUAAGUCAGAUGUGAAAGCCCGGGGCUCAACCUCGGAAUUGCAUUUGAAACUGGCAGACUAGAGUACUGUAGAGGGGGGUAGAAUUUCAGGUGUAGCGGUGAAAUGCGUAGAGAUCUGAAGGAAUACCGGUGGCGAAGGCGGCCCCCUGGACAGAUACUGACACUCAGAUGCGAAAGCGUGGGGAGCAAACAGGAUUAGAUACCCUGGUAGUCCACGCCGUAAACGAUGUCUACUUGGAGGUUGUGGCCUUGAGCCGUGGCUUUCGGAGCUAACGCGUUAAGUAGACCGCCUGGGGAGUACGGUCGCAAGAUUAAAACUCAAAUGAAUUGACGGGGGCCCGCACAAGCGGUGGAGCAUGUGGUUUAAUUCGAUGCAACGCGAAGAACCUUACCUACUCUUGACAUCCAGAGAACUUUCCAGAGAUGGAUUGGUGCCUUCGGGAACUCUGAGACAGGUGCUGCAUGGCUGUCGUCAGCUCGUGUUGUGAAAUGUUGGGUUAAGUCCCGCAACGAGCGCAACCCUUAUCCUUGUUUGCCAGCGAGUAAUGUCGGGAACUCCAGGGAGACUGCCGGUGAUAAACCGGAGGAAGGUGGGGACGACGUCAAGUCAUCAUGGCCCUUACGAGUAGGGCUACACACGUGCUACAAUGGCGCAUACAGAGGGCGGCCAACUUGCGAAAGUGAGCGAAUCCCAAAAAGUGCGUCGUAGUCCGGAUUGGAGUCUGCAACUCGACUCCAUGAAGUCGGAAUCGCUAGUAAUCGUGGAUCAGAAUGCCACGGUGAAUACGUUCCCGGGCCUUGUACACACCGCCCGUCACACCAUGGGAGUGGGU
rnacentral:rRNA from 1 species